CCCUGCGAAUGUGUUCGGAAGGCUUUCUUUAUCGGUGUUAUUGUACCGUAAAAUCAGAGGCGUUCGAAUGUGAGUUCACGAGACUUCAACCAUAUUUUCUUAGUUCCUGUCAUUUUUCGAGAGGAAGUGGGUGCAGGUUGGAUUAAAUUAUCAAAAAGUGUGAGUAUUUUGCAGUUUUAAUGCUAUCUAUUAGUUUUAUCUUUGUAACCGAGUUCAAAUACAUCUAUAAGCUUUUAAAGUGAGAAGUAUUUUCGUGUAUUUGCAUUUAACUAAAAAUACACAAAAGAGUUAUCGUUCUUGAUUAACCACGCCUCCACGUGGUGUUGUGAAAUUAGAAAAAUACACCUUUUACAUAUAUACGCCACCUAAGUGAUCGUAUUACAGUAAAAAAAAAUAAUGCAUAGCUCUUGGAAAUUUAUUAAGCUGUAUAUUACAACCAAAAUGUGUGGUCUUCAGCAGAGAAAAUUAUAGCCGAUUUCUGAAAAGCAGAAGUGAAGGUGCGGAUCCAAUUAUUUUUUUAAAGAUUGUUGGUGUAUCAAUCAGAUACUUUGAAAAAUAAAGUGAAAUUGGUAAUUUAAAAAAUGUAAAACUCACUCUAAUAACAAAUACAAUCAAACUAACUCUCUCUCUCUCUCUCUCUCUCUCUCUCUCUCUCUCUCUCUCUCUCUCUCUCUCUCUCUCUCUCUCUCUCUCUCUCUCUCAAAUCGUGUAACAAUAUUUACACUACAAAGUUUAAUUAAAUAAAGACAUGUGUCGAUGAUUUCUGUGAUCAAUCUCAACAUGUUAACAUAAAUAUUAAAAACGUUAAAUGGAGGUGUAAUAUUACAUAACUAUAUAUAUAUCUGUUGAUCUUUCUGUCAUUCCAUUAAAUUAUUAAUUGUUUUUAUUAAAUUAUGCAUAUUGCAUGACGUACUAUAAUAGUACGUCAUGCAAUAUACAUAGAUAUAUUCACAGCCACAUGUCUUAAUUAUGGAGUGCUUUGGACACUAAAUUUAUAGACAGUACUUUAUAUCUCUAAUUAGCUUUGUAAAUUGUGCAAUGGGGCUUAUUGUUUGCAAAUAUAAAUGCAAACUACAAUGUUUUUAUUAUAUAAGCCUGCCCCAAGAUAAUUAUAUUAAAUGUGCAGCACAUUUUGGCAAUUAAAAUUCACUGGAAUAUGAAAAACAAAAAAUUUCUUACUGAUCGAGAUCGAUUUAUAAUGUGGAAUUUUGACAUCUUUUUUCCAUUUGGAAGUUAAGUGAGAUACCUCGCAUAAUUUCCAUUGUUAUCAAAUGGGUCUGUUGCUAUUCAAAAUUUCUGUAGACAUCACAAUAUUUAGAUUUUAACAUGUAUACUGAAACCUGAUAAGUUAGAUCAAGGGGGCAUUUCAAGAGCGAGAUGUUGAAAAUUGUUCAUACUUUUGAAUGAACAUUGUUUGAACCCUGAGGUAUUGACAAAAAUAUGAAGUAGUUAUUAAGCAAAAUGUAUAAAAUCUAGCUUUGUUACAACUUACAUGUAUCUUUAUUGGAACAGAUAUUGAUGAAAUGUAAUUUUUUUGUCUCAGAUUUACAUCAACAAAGAACUACUGUGUAUUAAUUAUAUUUGGACCCUCCUACAUGCAUGUAGCUGUUAUAAGGGGUAGAAAAGUAUUAAUUGUUAACGUCUAUUUUCCAUCUGCUUUUUACAUAUACUGGUAAUCUUGUAUAUACAUAAAGAUGCAGAACACUAUGAAUUGAUAACCCAUCUGAUGUAACAACACUAACAAGCUGAUAUGCAGCACAUCACUGGAAGCCAACUAAACAGCAUUUCAAAACCUUUCACCUUUAGCACAGAGUUAGCCAUGCACUUCCCUUAAUCCCUCAUUUAAAGUCACUUUUUUAAAGAUGAAAAAUAAAGUUUGUCGUUUUUAGGAUUAACUGAAGGUCAGACACAGCUAACAUCUUCCCUUUCUCUAUUAUUUCCUAUCUCCAAAAUGUGAAUAUUUCCAUUAAGAAAUUCCAUAAUUAUAUUUUCAUGUAAUGAUACUUUCUUUAUUUAGAUAUAAAGUGUUUGAUUGAAAGUAUAUAAUAUGACUAUUUACAAGCAUUCAAAUGCAUUUUGCUUGCUAUUUUAAGGAACAUUCUAAAUAUUCUAGCUCUGACAAGAGCCUGGUAAUGUACUCAGAAUUUUUUAGAAUUACCGUAACCGGUUUUAAAUGGAUUAAUAUAUCAAGGAAAAUUAUAAAAAAUAUAGGAACAUCUUGUGUGUCCUUAAAGCUGAAUCCAUUAUACUGAGUAUAUCAAUUUAAACUUGCAUUGUUUUGUUUUUAGAAUCAUAUGAUUUACAAAUCACAUGAAACGAAAUACAUGUACUAAAUAUAAUGUACUAUUGUUGAAUAAUUAUUAUUUUAUAUUUGUACAAUCAAAAUGUGAAGCGUUUGAUAUGUAUUAUUCCACAUGAUUAAUUUUUAAUUAGAUACAGUAGAAAAUAUGAAAUGUCAGUUAUUAUGGUUAUUAUCAAGUGUACAUUUUUUGGUAUACAUUAGCUAGACCCACAUCCAGAUAAAAGAUAAUCAAUUAAGUUAUUAGAGUGUAUAUUUUUGAAACUGUCCAACGAUUGCUACAUGUACAUACUUCAAUGACCACAAUUAAUUUUAUGCUGUAUUAUAAGUAUAGCAUGUUAACACAAAUGCGAUUUAACUAGACAUGUUGAGUGUAGAGUGUAUUAUGUACCUCAAUGUAUAAAAAGAUAAAUGAAUUUUGUUAAACAUUGGACACUUACAAUCUUUGUUUACUGUGUCUGAUAUGCUUUGGUUUCAAAAACUAUCAUUUAUGAAGACUCUAUUUUCAAUUCUACCUUUGCAUCAUUGGUGAAUUAUUCUUUUCCAUGCUUUUCAAUGCAUAAAAAGACUGCAAUUUUUUUCAUCAUUACAUUAAAUAUUAGUUAAAAUGAAGUAGUAUACUAUUGUUUUGAAGACUUAUGAUAAAUACGAAAAUUAAUUGUGUGUAUAUAUUUAUAUGUAUAUUUCACCAUAGCUUUUUAGUUACCGGAAUACCCCUCCUUUUUUUUGGGGGGGGGGGGGAUUAAAUGACUAAAGUUUUGCAAUGAAAUGAACAAAUUAAUUUUUAACCAAAAUCAUCUGGUGAAAUGCUAAUAAUCUAAUCUUUUCUAAAUGCACCUUAACAUGUACUAGCUGGUACUAAUCAAUAUCUUAAUAUAUAACUCUAUAUUGCUAUGUCAUCAGAAUUUUUUCACAUCUUUUAUAUUAUGAUAGAAAGUUAUUUUUGGUGAAAGACUGGAACAAACUAUAAACUUUUUAAGGACCUUUGAAUUCUCAUGUGUAUGUAAAAUAAUUACAAUAUGCUGUGAUAUAGUUCAUAUUAGAAAUAUAUGAAAGUGUGUUAAAAUUAUUAGAAUUACAUGUUGCAAACUGUGGUGUAUAGUGAUGUUAUUGUUUUUAGUGAAUACUGAUGUACAAUACAGUUGGAUAUAUUGUUUUGAUUAUAUGUAAAUGUGAUGAAUCUUCUUAUCAAUCAAUAUUAUACAUGUAUAUGUAAAAGAUUGAAAUCUUAUUAAUUUUACCAGACAAAUUGUUAGUAUUGUCCAUUGUCAUUUAGAAUUGUACAUACAACUACAUGUAUUAGGUGGUCCAAUCAUGCUUGGAUUAAAAAAUAACAUUAUAAAAUUUAUUAUGAUUUAUGAAAGAAA